rnacentral:ncRNA from 1 species
GCGAAGGACUGAAUUUUCGGUCCCUCCCGCCGCAAGGCGGGAUUAAAAAUUGGGUGAAUUCGGGGAAACCUAAACCCGCCAAUUGGCGGGCACGGCAAUCCCGAGCCGAGCUUCGAUGGGUAAUAAUUUCGAAGAAGGUGUAGAGACUAGCAAGUGAGCCCGACAAUAAUCUUGCAUUAGCGCCCAACUCCCGACUAUAAUCGGGAUGAAGAGAUAGUCCAAGCCCUAAAGAAAUUUAGGG